UAUAAGGUGAACAGGGUGACUAAUAAGGUCUGAUCAGGGGUUGACAGGCAUGUUACUCACACGGCCAGACGGCAACCAUACAUUGCGACUUCAGAACAUUGCUUGGCAUGUAAAUGCGUCACGCGAUCACACAUCAGUUUCCCUACACGCAUACUUGAACAACGCUGCAACAGCUGUAUGAGCAGCGGUAAUGCGGGUCGUGAAAUCCUGCGUCCAAGCUACUGACAGAUGGAACUGGUGGUGAGUCCGCAUGAUUUCCGGACCGCCGUCUUGUGGCCAAAGCCAGGGUUAAGGCUCAUCGUCGAUGCCCAUCCACGGGAAGGGAGUUUCACAACACUUGAGUGAUCCACCAACACCGCGGAUCGCGAUAACGAAGCCAAACAAAUGUUUCACUGCCACACCACCGCACUGCUGAGAGAGGACUGACUGAACGACAUCACCAUCAGCGCCACUGUCAUUCCCAGCCCGCGGAACCAAGAUUAUGGUUUCACCACAACUCAGUCAACCGGCAGAUCGCGUGCGCUGCGGUAAAGUGUUGGAACGCCCACCUCCUCCAACGCUUCUGGGCAGCGUGGAAGAGUAGACCAAACACAAGAACUAAUCUCCGUCUCGUUGGUGGCUCUCCCCCCUCCGCCCAGCAGCAGCAGCGGCGUGACAAAGCAAUUCCAGUGUUGAGCAAACCUUCACCUUUGAACUGGAACAAGGGCAAACCGGCCACGAGGCGACUAAGACCGCUCCUGCCGUUUGUACAAACGCACGUGCCACGGGUCGGUGUUCUGACUCCAACCACGGGGUUUUAGCGAUGUCAAAAACGGUUUCAGUUUUCCUUGGUUGAACCGAUGCUGCCGGAAUCCCACAAGGCCGUGUGGCUGAUUGGGAUGUGCAACAAAACACAUCGAUUGUCUCAACGGCCCUGAUCGCCACCUCUAAAACACAUUGAAUCGGCAAUGAAAGGUGUUGUGUGAAUUGCCACAGGCUUUGGUUCCGAUAUUAUUAUUUGUAUGCUGUUGUGGAUUUGUUCCGCUUCUAUCCAUUAGCCCAAUAUUUGACUGUAAUCUUUGCUCUAUAGUUUAUGAAAGGGCUCGAAUGUACACAAAAGCCAAUUGUUACUGUGCCUUUAAUGUAAGGUUAUCUUGCUUUGAUUCCCACCCGCAAUGGCCCCUUUAAAAAACAAACAUUGACUCUGCACGGGCUACAGUAUUGCCAGAUUGUAAUAACAGCAUUAGACCUACGUGUACACCCGCAUGUGUGUAAAUUAUAAUACGCACGAAAAAAUGUGUUUAAUCCCUAAAUUAAGUCAAUGAAAUCAAAUGUAUUAUUCAUGAAUGUUUUAAUUAAAAGA